rnacentral:ncRNA from 1 species
AAAAUGUUUAAUUUUGGCUUGAUUUUUUAAAGAUUUUAUUGAAUUUGUAUGAAAAUUAUUGUGUGAAUAAAUAUUUAAUUAUAUAUUAAAUAUAGUAAAAAAAUAAAAAUAUAAUUAAUAAAUUAUAUAAACUCAGCAUAAAUUUUUAGUGUUAAUUAUAUAAAAAUAUGAACUAGUAAUAAUAUAAUUAAAUCUGAUAAAUAUUUGUGCCAGCAUUCGCGGUUAUACUUAAAGAUUAAAUAAAAAUAUUUAGUAAUUAGUUAAAUAAAGAUUUAUUAAAAAUUAUAAAUAAUAAAAGGUAAAAUUUAAUUGUUAUUAUAUAUAUAAUUUAUUUAAAUUAAGAUUGAAGCUAAAAAGUUUAAUUAUAAACUAGGAUUAGAUACCCUAUUAUUUUAAGAAAAUUAUAAAAACUUAAUUAGUAUUAGAUAUAUACUUAAAAAUUAAAAGAUUUGGCGGUAAUUUAAUCUUUUCAGAGGAAUUUGUUUUUUAAUCGAUAAUCCACGAAAAAUCUUACUUGUGUUUAGUUUAUAUAAAUAAAUUAGUUUGUAUACCAUCAUUAUCAGAUAAUUCUAAAAAGAAAAAUUAUUAAAUAUAAUUGUUUAUUGAAAUUAGAUCAUGGUGCAGCUUAUAACCAAGUUAAAAUGAGUUACAAUAAAUUAUUUUAUAAUGAAUUGAUAAAAGAAUUUUUAUUAUGAAAGAGGAUUUGAUAGUAUUAUAAUUUUAAUAUGUUUAUAAGGUAAUAGCUCUAAAUUAUGUACAUAUUGCCCGUCGCUUUCAUUUAUAAAUGAAAUAAGUCGUAACAUAGUAGAUGUACUGGAAAGUGUAUCUAGAAUUAU